rnacentral:rRNA from 1 species
GGGAACCCGGGGAACUGAAACAUCUAAGUACCCGGAGGAAAAGAAAGAAAACUCGAUUCCGUAAGUAGCGGCGAGCGAACGCGGAGGAGCCUAAACCGGAAUGCGUGCAUUCCGGGGUUACGGACUGCAUUUAAGAUUCUUUGAAGCUAACAGAACGGUUUUGGGAAAGCCGGCCAGAGAGGGUGAAAGCCCCGUACGUGAAAGCUGAUGAGACUGAGCAGGAUCCAGAGUACCACGAGACACGUGGAACCUUGUGGGAAAUCAGGGGGACCACCCCCUAAGGCUAAAUACUACUUAGUGACCGAUAGCGCAUAGUACUGUGAAGGAAAGGUGAAAAGGACCCCGGGAGGGGAGUGAAAGAGAACCUGAAACCCUGUGUCUACAAGCUGUGGAAGCACUUUAUAUGUGCAACCGCGUACUUUUUGUAGAACGGUCCGGCGAGUUACGCUUACUGGCAAGGUUAAGCACUUCAGGUGUGGAGCCGUAGGGAAACCAAGUCUUAAGAGGGCCUUAAGUCAGUAGGAGUAGACCCGAAACCGGGUGAUCUAUCCAUGUCCAGGUUGAAGCUGCCGUAAGAGGUAGUGGAGGACCGAACCCACAUCCGUUGAAAAGGGUGGGGAUGAGGUGUGGAUAGGGGAGAAAUUCCAAUCGAACCCGGAGAUAGCUGGUUCUCCUCGAAAUAGCUUUAGGGCUAGCCUCGAUACAGAUUUGCGGAGGUAGAGCACUGAAUUUCCUAGGGG